rnacentral:rRNA from 1 species
UACGGAGGAUCCAAGCGUUAUCCGGAUUUAUUGGGUUUAAAGGGUGCGUAGGCGGAAGGAUAAGUUAGAGGUGAAAAUUCGUUGCUCAACAACGGACGUGCCUCUGAUACUGUUCAUCUAGCGAGGGAGUGCUGUGGGCGGAAUGUGUGGUGUAGCGGUGAAAUGCUUAGAGAUCACACAGAACACCGAUUGCGAAAGCAGCUCACAAACUCUUAUCGGACGCUGAGGCACGAAAGCGUGGGGAGCAAACAGG